rnacentral:rRNA from 1 species
GACAGAGGCCUCGAGCGUUAGGCGGAAUCACUGGGCUUAAAGCGUGUGUAGGCGGAAGAGUAAGUGUCUUGUGAAAUCCCACGGCUCACCCGUGGAACCGCUGGGCAUACUGCUCUUCUUGGGCCAUUCAGGGGCGACUGGAACAAGCGGUGGAGCGGUGAAAUGCGUAGAUAUCAGGAAGAACACCUAUGGCGAAGGCAGCACUCUGGGACGGUACUGACGCUGAGACGCGAAAGCGUGGGGAGCGAACAGG